AUGGAGGCCAGGCGACAGCGCCACCGCCGCGUGUCGCCGCCGCUGCUGGUGCUGGUGGCGGUGGUGAUCGCGGCCGGGCGCUGCGGCGCGCAGGUGCCGGUCCCGGCGAGGACGAACGGGUUCGUGUACGGGGGGCAGGCGUGGGCGCCGGCGUGGGGCGAGGCGGUGGUCGUCGAGGCCUUCUUCGACCCGCUCUGCCCCGACAGCCGCGACGCCUGGCCGCCGCUGCGGAGGGCCGCCGACCACUUUGGCGCCCGCCGCGUCGCCGUCGUCAUCCACCUCUUCCCGCUCCCAGCGUGGUCGAGCUUUAUAGCUAGAGAAAACAAAAGCACCACUAUAAUAGAGAAGAAGCAAAAGGUGUAUAAGAAAAGGAGAGAAAAAAUCAGAUUUCAGAAGGGUUAUUACAACACGCCGACAUACACCAAAACAAGAGCGGCGGUGGUCGCCAAAAUAGCGAACAACCUGGUCACCCCCGUCAUUGGCGAAGCCAAUUUGGCUGCAUAUAGAGCAGGCUUCAACGACUCACGGUCGGAUCAGGCCGCAAGGAUUUCCUUCAAGUUUGGUUGUGCACGAGGUGUCACGGGGACACCUUACUACUUUGUUAAUGGCAUACCACUUGGUGACCUUGAUUUUCCUCUGGACUAUGACAAGUGGGUAUCCACACUUGAUCCAUUGGUUGGCAAGAUGUAG
rnacentral:rRNA from 1 species